rnacentral:tRNA from 1 species
AGAGAGGUGGCCGAGUGGUCGAAGGCGCACGCCUGGAAAGUGUGUAUACGCCACAAGCGUAUCGAGGGUUCGAAUCCCUUCCUCUCUGCUA